ACUCCUACGGGAGGCAGCAGUGGGGAAUUUUGGACAAUGGGCGAAAGCCUGAUCCAGCAAUGCCGCGUGAGUGAAGAAGGCCUUCGGGUUGUAAAGCUCUUUUGUCAGGGAAGAAACGGUGAAAGCUAAUAUCUUUUGCUAAUGACGGUACCUGAAGAAUAAGCACCGGCUAACUACGUGCCAGCAGCCGCGGUAAUACGUAGGGUGCAAGCGUUAAUCGGAAUUACUGGGCGUAAAGCGUGCGCAGGCGGUUUUGUAAGUCUGAUGUGAAAUCCCCGGGCUCAACCUGGGAAUUGCAUUGGAGACUGCAAGGCUAGAAUCUGGCAGAGGGGGGUAGAAUUCCACGUGUAGCAGUGAAAUGCGUAGAUAUGUGGAGGAACACCGAUGGCGAAGGCAGCCCCCUGGGUCAAGAUUGACGCUCAUGCACGAAAGCGUGGGGAGCAAACAGGAUUAGAUACCCUUGUAGUCCC
rnacentral:rRNA from 1 species